GAGGUUGAGAGUUCUAUCACCAUUGACAAUGUCAAGGCCAAGAUCCAGGACAAGGAGGGCAUCCCCCCUGACCAGCAGAGCCUGAUCUUUGCCAGCAAGCAGCUGGACGAUGGCCGCUCCCUCGCUGACUACAACAUACAGAAGGAGUCCACCCUUCACCUGAUGCUCGGCCUCCGUGGUCGUCAUCCAUCCAUCCAUCAGUCUCAGGAGCUGCUCAUACCUGGCCUCGACCAACCAACCCCCACGCGCCCAUGA
rnacentral:rRNA from 1 species